GAUGAAGAACGCAGCAAAAUGCGAUAAGUAGUGUGAAUUGCAGAAUUCAGUGAAUCAUCGAAUCUUUGAGCGCACAUUGCGCCCGCUGGUAUUCCGGCGGGCAUGCCUGUUCGAGCGUCAUUUCAACCCUCAAGCCCCCGGGUUUGGUGUUGGGGAUCGGCUCUGCCCUUCUGGGCGGUGCCGCCCCCGAAAUACAUUGGCGGUCUCGCUGCAGCCUCCAUUGCGUAGUAGCUAACACCUCGCAACUGGAACGCGGCGCGGCCAUGCCGUAAAACCCCAACUUCUGAAUGUUGACCUCGGAUCAGGUAGGAAUACCCGCUGAACUUAAGCAUAUCAAUAAGCGGAGGA
rnacentral:misc_RNA from 1 species